GUGGACACUGGACAGUGGUGUUUGAUUUUUGCGUAAUGUAAAAUAAUAUACAUUCACAGUUACAGCUAAUUGUUAAUCACUUACUAAAUGUAAGAUAAUCUUAUAAGUGUCAGAGUGUCAGUGUGUGGCAUGACAUAAUUAUUAAAAUGAAACCAGAUCCAUAUUUUAUAAUUAUAUCUACUUCACCAACUGUUCACUCGAACUUACAAUAAUCUGUCUAUAAAAAAUUAAUUUAUAUUUAUAUUAAAUAAAUCAUGUCAGAAUAUCAUCAAAACUACCAAUUCACACAUUUAAUCUUCGGUAAUUGUAUAUAAAAUAAAUUAUAAAUUAAUUUAUCGUCACUUUGGAGUUGGAAAGAAUUUAACAUUUUUAUCAGUACCUACCUAAGUUGAUAUAAAUUUAAUUGAAUCUCAUAAGCUAAAGUAUUUUUAUCUGCUAUAUUAUCCAGG